CUUUACAGCCCGAAGCCAUAUGGAAGCAGAAAUGAGUUGGGUCCAUUGCCUUUUGUUCUGUAACUGGGCUUCACUGAGAAGAGUCUGGCUCCCUCUUCAUCCCGUACCCUGUGCUAACUAAAGCCACAAACCAGAUGUUCUGGAGGGGGCUUUCUGGCUGGAUGAGUUCCUAAGGAUGGUUCAGAGUCAGCCACCUGUGCUCCAGGAACCCUUGGUAACAAACUAUAGAGGAAAGAUGUAUAUACUAAAUGACAAGGAGAUGAAUGCUGAAGUUUCCAUGUGCAUUCAAGUGUUUGGUGUUUCUACUCUUCUUCCAUUUGAGAAGACCAUAUAUAUGAUAUUGCUGCCAUUAUAAUGACAUUCUUCAACAAGGAAGAUGCGUCUUUUUAUGGGCAUUGGCACCAUUUACAGGAUCCACAUUUAUGCAAGUCUGUUCUGUAUUUCAUUUAAAUAAAGCCUCCAUAAAAGCUUUGAUCAUUAA
ensembl:lncRNA